CGCGAAUGGCUCAUUACAACAGCCAAAUUUUACUGGAAUAUAGUUAUCUUACUUGGAUAACUGUGGCAAUUCUAGAGCUAAUACAUGCAAAAAAGCUCUGACCGCAAGGAACGAGCGCAUUUAUUAGAAUAAAAACCAAUCGGGUUUCGGCCCGUUUAUUGGUGAAUCUGGAUAACUUUGCCAAUCGCACAGUCCUAGUACUGGCGAUGUAUCCUUCAAAUGUCUGCCUUAUCAACUUUCGAUGGUAGGUUAUACGCCUACCAUGGUAUUAACGGGUAACGGAGAAUAAGGGUUCGACUCCGGAGAGGGGGCCUGAGAAACGGCUACCACAUCCAAGGAAGGCAGCAGGCGCGCAAAUUACCCACUUUCAGAACGAAGAGGUAGUGACGAAAAAUAACGAGACAGUCCUCUUCGAGGUCUGUCAUCGGAAUGGGUACAAUUUAAAUCCUUUAACGAGGAUCUAUUGGAGGGCAAGUCUGGUGCCAGCAGCCGCGGUAAUUCCAGCU
rnacentral:rRNA from 1 species